AAAAGAAAAAGAGUAAUCAUAUUCAUAGUUGAGAACAUAGAUAGUACAAGUGAAAGCCACGCAAUCAAUCGAAAGUCUCAAGUUCCCUUAAAAUCACGAUGACAUAAUAUCAAAUUCCAUGCCCUAAUUUCAAGUAUCCAGUUAAAUCAUCAAACAAAUAAAUGACAGGGAACGAGUUUAGAUUCUUCUUAUCAUGCGACAUCAAUCUUCCUGUUACUUUCAGAAUCGAAAGAUUAGAAGGCCAUUUACCUCCUUCUUCUUCUUCUUCUAAUCCCUCUCUUCCAGCUGCGGAUAUAGGCAAUGUUAUUGAGGAGAAAAAACCAGAGCUAUAUGUGGAGAGUGCCUUGUACAUUGACGGUGCUCCGUUUGGUCUUCCCAUGAGAACUAGGCUAGAGUCUUCUGGUCCGCCAUUUUGCUGGGGUGAACUCGUUACGUUGAGUAUCAAAUAUCGAGACUUGACUACCAAUUCUCAACUCGCUAUAACCGUUUGGGAUGUUUCGUGUGGAAAAAAUGAGGGUUUGAUUGGCGGGGCAACCAUCCAUUUCUUUAAUAUGAAAAAACAACUUAAGACAGGGAAACACAAACUUAGACUUUGGCAAGGCAAGGAGGCAGAUGGAUCAAUUCACUCUACUACUCCUGGAAAGGUCCCUAAAGAGGAGCGUGGGGAGCUGGAGCGUUUAGAGAAGCUUGUGAAUAAGUAUGAGAGAGGGCUGAUCCAGCGAGUUGAUUGGUUGGACCGCCUUGCUUUUAAAGCUAUGGAUAAAAUCAAGGAUCUUGAAAGCAGUAAGAAUGGGAGUUCUCAUUUGUAUCUGCUUGUUGAUUUCUGCAGUUUUGAACAUCGAGUUGUUUUACAGGAAUCUGGGCCAAACUUAAUAAUACCGGCAUCUAUAACUUCAACAAAUGAGCUAGUUACUGUAUGGGAUCCAGAAGUGGGGAAAAUUAACCCCUCUGAGCACAAACAAUUGAAACUUGCUAGGAGUUUGAAUCGUGGUAUAAUUGAUAGAGAUCUCAAGCCCAGUUCUACAGAAAGGAAGUCUAUACAAAGGAUACUAAAGUAUCCGCCAACACGAACUUUGAGUGGGGAUGAGAGACAGUUGUUGUGGAAGUUCCGAUUCUCAUUGAUGUCAGAAAAAAGAGCUUUAACAAAGUUUUUGCGUUGUGUUGAAUGGAGUGAUGUUCAGGAAGCAAAGCAGGCAAUUGAACUGAUGGGUAGGUGGGAGAUGAUUGACGUAUGUGAUGCAUUAGAACUUCUGUCUCCAGUUUUCGAGAGUGAAGAGGUUCGUGCACAUGCUGUCCAUGUCCUUGAUAGAGCAGAUGAUGAAGAGCUCCAGUGUUAUUUACUUCAGCUGGUUCAAGCUCUGCGAUUUGAACGCUCUGAUAAAUCUCGUCUUUCUCAAUUUCUUGUGCAGCGAUCAUUGUCCAACAUUGAGUUUGCUAGCUUUCUUCGGUGGUACGUCGCUGUUGAACUUCAUGAUCCUGCAUAUGCGAAACGUUUUUAUUCUACCUAUGAGAUACUGGAAGAAAAUAUGAUAAAGUUGGGAAUUGGGGCCGCAGAUACUGGAGAUGGCAUUAAGUUGUGGCAGAGUCUGGUUCGCCAAACAGAAUUGACAGCACAGCUGUGCUCCAUAAUGAGAGAUGUUCGUAAUGUAAGAGGGGGAACUCAAAAAAAGAUUGAAAAGCUUCGGCAUCUGCUGUCUGGUCUUCUUAGUGAACUUACAUACUUUGAGGAGCCUAUACGAUCACCUUUGGCACCGACUGUUCUUAUCACUGGGAUUAUCCCAUCAGAUUCAACGAUAUUCAAAAGUGCAUUACAUCCUUUGCGCCUAGCGUUUAGAACCUCCAACGGUGGAUGUCUAAAGAUCAUAUUUAAGAAGGGGGAUGAUCUUCGACAAGAUCAGUUGGUUGUUCAGAUGGUAUCACUAAUGGAUCGAUUGCUUAAGUUGGAGAAUCUGGAUCUACAUUUAACUCCGUACGGAGUGUUGGCCACAGGACAUGAUGAGGGCAUGUUGGAAUUCAUCCCAUCUAAAUCUUUGGCCCAGAUCUUGUCAGAGCACCGAAGUAUCACAAGCUACUUACAGAAGUUUCACCCGGACGAGGAGGGACCUUUUGGAAUUACAGCUACUUGUCUUGAGACAUUCAUUAAAAGUUGUGCAGGCUACUCAGUGAUCACAUACAUACUUGGCAUUGGAGACAGGCACCUUGACAAUCUUCUACUGAGGGAUGAUGGGCGCCUUUUUCAUGUUGAUUUUGGUUACAUAUUGGGUCGUGAUCCAAAGCCAUUUCCUCCACCUAUGAAACUUUGCAAAGAAAUGGUGGAGGCAAUGGGUGGUGCAGAAAGCCAAUAUUAUACAAGGUUCAAAUCCUACUGUUGUGAAGCAUAUAACAUCCUUCGGAAAUCAAGCAACUUAAUAUUAAACCUCUUUCACCUCAUGGCGGGGUCUAACAUCCCUGAUAUAGCAUCUGAUCCUGAGAAAGGAAUUUUAAAGCUUCAAGAGAAAUUUCGGCUGGACUUGGAUGAUGAAGAGUGUAUACAUUUCUUCCAGGAUCUUAUCAACGAGAGUGUUAGUGCUUUGUUCCCGCAAAUGGUUGAGACCAUACAUCGUUGGGCACAAUACUGGAGAUGAUCAUGAAUAAUUUAGGCCAUUUUAAUAGUUCUAUUUUAAUCUUCCCCGUUGGGGUUUCCAUAUCCACACAGGCUGUAAAGGGCUUAUGGAAAAACAGAUAUGUAUAGAGUUGUAGAUACUAUAUAGUACUCAUAUUGACAGUAUAUGAUCGGUUUAUUUUGUAAAAUAUUGGGAUUUGUAUAUAGGUUAUAUACUUGUAUUGAUAAGAAUUAGGACUUGAAAUAUAUGGGGGUUGCAUCAA